rnacentral:rRNA from 1 species
AUUGAACGCUGGCGGCAGGCCUAACACAUGCAAGUAGAGCGGCGGCGGACGGGUGAGUAACGCGUAGAGAAAUUGCCUAACAGCUAGGGACAAAAUUUGGAAACGAAUGCUAAUACCUAAUACUGUGAGAGAGCUUUGAGUACCAUUAGCUAGUUGGAGAGGUAACGGCUCACCAAGGCGAUGAUGGGUAGACGGCCUGAGAGGGUGAUCGGCCACAAGGGGACUGAGACACUGCCCUUACUCCUACGGGAGGCAGCAGUGGGUAAUAUUGGACAAUGGACCAAAGUCUGUUCCAGCAAUUCUGUUUGCACGAUGAAGUUUUCGGAAUGUAAAGUGCUUUCAGUUGGGAAGCGGUACCAACAGAAGAUGUGACGGCUAAAUACGUGCCAGCAGCCGCGGUAAUUC